GAGAGAGAGAGAGAGAGAGAGAGAGAGAGAGAAAGAGAGAAGAGAGAUAGAGGGAGAAUUCACGUGGACGAUCGAAGCGUUCCAUUAUUUCCCUCUUAACUUCCCGUUUUUAUGCACGCAAUUUUUGUUCUGUUUAAUAAAAACAAAAGAAA